rnacentral:rRNA from 1 species
GACGAACGCUGGCGGCGUGCCUAAUACAUGCAAGUAGAACGCAAUUGCGAACGGGGGAGUAACGCGUAGGUAACUGCCUCAUAGCGGGGGAUAAAUAUUGGAAACGAUAGCUAAUACUGCAUACUGCGAGAUGGACCUGCGUUGUAUUAGCUUGUUGGUGUGGUAAAGGCGCACCAAGGCGACGAUACAUAGCCGACCUGAGAGGGUGAGCGGCCACACUGGGACUGCGACACGGCCCAGUCUCCUACGGAAGGCAGCCGUAGGGCAUCGUCGGCAAUGGGCGGAAGUCUGAGCGAGCAACGCCGCGUGAGUGAAGAAGGUUUUCGGGUCGGAAAGCUCUGUUGUUGGAGAAGCGGUAGCUAACCAGAAAGGGACGGCUAACUACGUGCCAGCAGCCGCGGUAAUAC